UGCUGUUCUUGCAACCUCGUCCGGUAGCUUGUCCAUAAAGUCAUGCCAGGCCAUUAGAAGGGGCUGAAUUGGAGAAGUCUGAACUCUGAGUGGAGACGACACCUUUUCUUUCAAACUGCUCUCGAUCGGGAUAAGGUUCAGUUUCAACCAAUUGUUAAGGGACUUUAGGUAUGCUUUUUGGUUGUCUAUUAGACCACAGAACUGUGCAUGCCAC
rnacentral:lncRNA from 1 species